GCAACCCAGAGAGACAGAGGAGGAAGUGCAGCAUCACUUGAUUCAAAGAAUCAUUCAUCUUCCCUGCAGUCUCAAUUUUCCAUCCAUUUUCUUCCUUUAAACUGUCUUGACAAACUAGCUGAGAAGAAUUGCUACAAUCAGCUCUUCAACAUCAUGUACUUCUCUUGCAGCAUGAUUCACCAGCUGAAGCCGGCCUUGAGGAGGACUGCAGCUCGGGAG